rnacentral:rRNA from 1 species
GAUGAACGCUGGCGGCGUGCCUAAUACAUGCAAGUAGAACGCUGAAGCUUGGUGCUUGCCCCGAGCGGAUGAGUUGCGAACGGGUGAGUAACGCGUAGGUAACCUGCCUCUUAGCGGGGGAUAACUAUUGGAAACGAUAGCUAAUACCGCAUAAAAGUCGACAUCGCAUGAUGUUGACUUGAAAGGUGCAAUUGCAUCACUAAGAGAUGGACCUGCGUUGUAUUAGCUAGUUGGUGAGGUAACGGCUCACCAAGGCGACGAUACAUAGCCGACCUGAGAGGGUGAUCGGCCACACUGGGACUGAGACACGGCCCAGACUCCUACGGGAGGCAGCAGUAGGGAAUCUUCGGCAAUGGGGGCAACCCUGACCGAGCAACGCCGCGUGAGUGAAGAAGGGUUUCGGAUCGUAAAGCUCUGUUGUAAGAGAAGAACGAGUGUGAGAGUGGAAAGUUCACACUGUGACGGUAACUUACCAGAAAGGGACGGCUAACUACGUG